rnacentral:lncRNA from 1 species
GUUGUCUGUCUUCCCUAUGAGCCCACCCUGCCUUCUCCAGUGGAUAAUUUUUAUUACUUUCCUUGUGUUUCCUUCUACUUCCUAGCUGUGUGAGAGACAUGUUACUUAACCUCUCUGGGCUGCGAUUUCUUCAUCUGCAAAAUGAAAUCAUAACAUCCACAUCAAAAGUGCUUAAUGAGAACUGAGUUCACAUUUACAAAAAUACAUAGAAGAGUUCCUUAAAUGAAAUAUGCAAGAGUAAGUGGAUUUACAACAUAAUCUGGGCUGCCGCUCACAGCAGCUGCAGGAACAAUGCACUGCCUAGCUCCAUCCUGCCCUCCUGCUUCCUGGAGAGUCAAGAUUCAGCUCCCUGGAGAGCGAGGGAGCUCAAGGGGAAGCACUGGGUGCUUCUGACAAUGUGGAGAAUGCAGAGUCAUGGGAAGAAAAAAAUUCACAAAACGUAAUUAACACUUGUAAAUAUAUUGGUGAAUUUUCUUCCUGCCUUCUGUUCUAUGCAUAUGUAUAAAGAUGUGCUUCUGUUUUUUGAAUUUGAGAUUAUACUAUAAACAAAUUUAGUAUUAUAAUUUUUCAUUUAAAAACAUAUGUAAAAUUUCACUUAAAGAAUAUACAUAUAUUUUGGGGGGAUAAGGAUGCUGAGCAUAAAACCCUAGGCCUGGGUCAUGCCCGGCAAAUUUUCUACCACUGAACUGUACUCCCAACCCUCAUUUAAAACAUGUUAAAGAUUUCCCCAUGAUUUUGUUUAUUUUUCAUAAAUUUGCAUUAUGACCCAUGAUAUGAAUACUAGGUACAUAAUAUUUAAUAACUGUACCAUUAUUGUAUAUCUGUCCUUUUAAAUAAAAUCCACUACAUAUAAUGCUAUAGCAGACUUGUAUUUA